GAUGAACGCUAGCUACAGGCUUAACACAUGCAAGUCGAGGGGCAGCAUGGAAGAAGCUUGCUUCUUCUGAUGGCGACCGGCGCACGGGUGCGUAACGCGUAUCAAACCUGCCUCAUACUCGGGGAUAGCCUUGCGAAAGUAAGAUUAAUACCCGAUGUUAUUAGUUUGCCGCAUGGUGGACUAAUCAAAGAUUUAUCGGUAUGAGAUGGUGAUGCGUCCGAUUAGGUAGUAGGCGGGGUAACGGCCCACCUAGCCUUCGAUCGGUAGGGGUUCUGAGAGGAAGGUCCCCCACACUGGAACUGAGACACGGUCCAGACUCCUACGGGAGGCAGCAGUGAGGAAUAUUGGUCAAUGGACGAAAGUCUGAACCAGCCAAGUAGCGUGCAGGAUGACGGCCCUCCGGGUUGUAAACUGCUUUUAGUUGGGAAUAAAAAGAGGGACGUGUCCCUUAUUGUAUGUACCUUCAGAAAAAGGACCGGCUAAUUCCGUGCCAGCAGCCGCGGUAAUACGGAAGGUCCAGGCGUUAUCCGGAUUUAUUGGGUUUAAAGGGAGCGUAGGCGGAUUGUUAAGUCAGCGGUUAAAGGGUGUGGCUCAACCAUACAUUGCCGUUGAAACUGGCGAUCUUGAGUGCAGACAGGGAUGCCGGAAUUCGUGGUGUAGCGGUGAAAUGCUUAGAUAUCACGAAGAACUCCGAUCGCGAAGGCAGGUGUCCGGGCUGCAACUGACGCUGAGGCUCGAAAGUGUGGGUAUCAAACAGG
rnacentral:rRNA from 1 species